UACAGAGGGUGCAAGCGUUAAUCGGAAUUACUGGGCGUAAAGCGUGCGUAGGCGGUUUCGUAAGUCGGGUGUGAAAGCCCCGGGCUCAACCUGGGAAUUGCAUUCGAGACUGCGAAGCUAGGGUGCGGAAGAGGGAAGCGGAAUUUCUGGUGUAGCGGUGAAAUGCGUAGAUAUCAGAAGGAACAUCAGUGGCGAAAGCGGCUUCCUGGUCCAGCGCCGACGCUCAGGCACGAAAGCGUGGGGAGCAAACAGG
rnacentral:rRNA from 1 species